UACGUAGGUGGCGAGCGUUAUCCGGAAUUACUGGGCGUAAAGCGCACGCAGGCGGUUUCUUAAGUUUGACGUGAAAACUCCUGGCUUAACUGGGAGAGGUCGUUGAAGACUGGGGAACUUGAGGCAAUGAGAGGGAUGUAGAAUUCACGGUGUAGUGGUGGAAUGCGUAGAUAUCGUGAGGAAUACCAGUGGCGAAAGCGACAUCCUGGCACUAGCCUGACGCUCAUGUGCGAAAGCGUGGGGAGCGAACGGG
rnacentral:rRNA from 1 species